rnacentral:rRNA from 1 species
ACGGGUGAGUAUCACGUGGGCAAUCUGCCCUUCACUCUGGGACAAGCCCUGGAAACGGGGUCUAAUACCGGAUAUCACUUCCACUCGCAUGGGUGGGGGUCGAAAGCUCCGGCGGUGAAGGAUGAGCCCGCGGCCUAUCAGCUUGUUGGUGAGGUAAUGGCUCACCAAGGCGACGACGGGUAGCCGGCCUGAGAGGGCGACCGGCCACACUGGGACUGAGACACGGCCCAGACUCCUACGGGAGGCAGCAGUGGGGAAUAUUGCACAAUGGGCGAAAGCCUGAUGCAUCGACGCCGCGUGAGGGAUGACGGCCUUCGGGUUGUAAACCUCUUUCAGCAGGGAAGAACCGAAAGUGACGGUACCUGCACAAGAAGCGCCGGCUAACUACGUGCCAUCAGCCGCGGUAAUACGUAGGGCGCAAGCGUUGUCCGGAAUUAUUGGGCGUAAAGAGCUCGUAGGCGGUCUGUCGCGUCGGAUGUGAAAGCCCGGGGCUUAACCCCGGGUCUGCAUUCGAUACGGGCAGACUAGAGUGUGGUAGGGGAGAUCGGAAUUCCUGGUGUAGCGGUGAAAUGCGCAGA